CUUAUUAGAGGUGACGCCUGCCCGAUGACCCAUCCUAAGUUAACCACCAUUAACGAACCCGGAUUCAAUGGCCGCGGUAUUUCUGACCGUGAUAAUGUAGCGAAAUCAAUCGUCACUUAAUUGCUGACCUGUAUCAAAGGUAUUACGAGUGUUCCGCUGUCUCAAGGAAAACCCCUGUGAAAUUGAAGGGACCGUGCAUAUGCGGUCUACAACCCUGUAAGACGAAAAGACCCUAUUGAGCUUUACUAUAGUCUUUCCUCUCCAUCCUGAAUAAAGGGGAAACCCCUCUAAAUUCAGACUAAGGAAAGAUAGGUAGUUUCGUUGGGGCGACGACCUUUUAAAAAGUAACAAAGGUUAGCUAUGGUUAUUAAUUGAAUGAAUUAUAGCCUGACUGUUUGGCCUAUAAGCCUACCAGACACUUCCGUGAGCCAUACUUUUCCAUUUUAAGGUAACCCUUAAAAUGCCAAAAUAUAAAAGUUACCAUAGGGAUAACAGCGUAAUUUUGUCGAAGAGCUCUUAUCGAUGACAAAGAUUGCGACCUCGAUGUUGAAUUGUGGUAUCCUGGGGGUGUAGCCGCUCCCAAGGGUUGGUCUGUUCGA
rnacentral:rRNA from 1 species